rnacentral:scRNA from 1 species
GUCGGCAGCCGGCCCUGGGUGCUCUCCUCGGG